CAUGACAGUCUUCAACCAUCGACAUCUGAGGGUCUUCAUCAGCCUGGGUGUAACUCUGCAGGGUCUGACAAGCAGCAAGCGUCUCUUCACAGUCCUGAACUCUAGGAAAGAACACUGUACACAAUAAGCUACAACUGGAGGAAGAAAAGACGUCAAAGAAAUGCCUUACCUUUCGCUUCAAUGUGGGCUUUGUAAGAAUUGGUGCGGCCUUUCCGAGAUGGCUGAUUAUUUGCAGGAAGACUAUCACGAGAAAGGACUUGUUUGUUCAAACGUGCAGAACUGGCGGGUGCCAUAACUUCUGGUUUCUUUUCAC